UGGGUAAAGUCCCAAACAAUGGAGAAGGAAGAAGCGAAUGUGAAGGCUACAGAAAACACCCAAAGAGAAGAAGGUCUUAUCAACACAUUCUGCGAAAUCACAUCUUGUUCAUCAAAAUCAGAAGCCCUAUUCUUCCUAGAAAGCCAUAAUUUCAACUUAGACUCCGCCGUCUCCACCUUCCUCGAAAACACCUCCCUUCCGUCCCCCGCCGGAAACACCUCCGUCCGUCGAGAGUCUUCUCAGUCGGAGUCACAGUCAUACUCUCCUUCUUCUUCUUCUUCUUCUCGUUCCCAAUCUCCGCCUCCUAAACAAAAACGGAAACGAAAACCUUCCAAUAAUAAUGCUUAUAACUUGAGGUCCUCUAGACCUAGAAAUAGUGGACCUACGACAGAGUCAGGGAGUGACUCCGAUGAGCCUCAACACUAUUAUACACGCCGACAGAAAAGCGGAAUCCUUGUUCAAGAUCCAUCAAAAGCGAAUGACGUGGAUGCAAUAUUUAAUCAAGCUAGACAAUAUGCUACCGUAGAAGGACCUUCAGAACACCUUCCAUCUUCAGGCUCAAGAAGCUUUACUGGAACUGCAAGGCGACUUACAGGGGAGGCUGUGUCUUCUGUUCCUCAGCCACCUGAAAAUGUCACCCAUGGUAUCACUUUUUGGCGCAAUGGGUUCACUGUAGAUGAUGGCCCUCUGCGGAGGUUUGAUGAUUCAGAAAAUGCCCCUUUCUUAGAGGACGGUGCUCUUCCCUUCCAAGAUGCUGCCCCUAAUGUCAAUGUUCUACAGAAUCUGGUUGGACCUAUUGGCGUUGCUGAUCCUGCAAGAAACUGGGUCGCUGAACGCGAUCAAGAAGCUCAAAGAGAUCAGGCUGUUGCUAUAGCCCACCGCCCCCAGUUUGAAGCUAGAAGGCUAGCUGCUCCUCUCUGUGGUCUUGCUGACCCGAAUAUCGAGACUGCCAUUUUCGCUAUGGCUUCCAAUUCCCCCCCUCGAACGGAUUACCUACCCCAGGGAAUCCACCUUUAUCCCUUGCUUUAUCUCGGUCCUCUACUACCUCAACCAGAUGGACCAUAUGAUGGCCCCCACUAAACAUUGGACAGACAACUGCAUGGGCUGGGUCCCCACCCCCAACCCCUACUCUCAGAUCUACAUCUCCGUUUUUCUUUACAUCCAAGUGAUUAGAGCUAUGGAUUCCGCGGGAAUCUUCCGCGGUGACUAUGUUUCCCUUUACUAGUCUGUGGAUUCCAGCCUCCCUGGUCUCCGCAUUCAAGAAUUUAUCUUGCUUCUGCCCUAGUGUCGCUGUUAAGUUUGGCUACGUUUCUCCCUCUCUGCCCGCCACUCCUGAGUGGACCGAGGCUGAUAGAUUCUCCUUUGGAAAUAGAUUUGCUUCGCACCUUCCCAACAUCGGCAUCUUCAUCUCCCAUCUCUACUCCCUCUGCCGCGUCGCUACUAGGCCAGCUGUUACUGAAGCUUUGUUUCACACUGAUGUCGGUGGCCCAAGAUUCAUGGCUACACUUUUUAGCCAAGCUUGUGUGCAUGACGAAAAUGAAAAGAUCAAUGUUGCUUCUCCUGGAGCUUCAUUAACAUAUGCCCGCAGUCUCCGCCUUUGGCAAGAUGCUGCCACCAACCUCUACUUUUAUGAUCUUCCACCUUCCCUGGAUAUCAGUGUCGAUCAUGUUGAAAACGACUGGAUCUCCGCCUUGAGAAUGAACAAUAGUUCAUCUUGGCUCGGCCCGCUAGCUGCUAUGAUGGGCAAGUACCGCCAAUUUUGGAAAGGUUGCUGCUCCCUUGCUGAUUGCUCACCAAACUGCUCCACCACCGGCUCAGUCCGCUGCGUAGCAACCAUUGGAACCAACGUGUUCCCAGGUCCUGUCUGGACCAAUAAAGCCGGUACGUGCAGCAACUUCCAGCACGGAAGUGCUAACCAAGUUGGGCACUAUACCAUGCGCUCCAAUCUGCGCCUCUCGUUCAAGGCCUCCACCACCAUCGAUGAUAUUCCAGAUGCUCAUGUCUAUGCUGCUCUGACUUAUCACUUCAACCUCUCCCCCAACGAUACUGGUCUUGCUGUCGUCGAUGAAGGUUCAUUUUGGGAUGCCCUCCCCCCUGCCUAUCAGGGUGAUGGAAUCCAAGUGUAUCAAGGCGUCACAUCCACGAUUGCUAGGGAGUACCAUUCUGAUUGGUGUAUCGACUCGGAGCGCCAAUGAAGUGCUCGCCCCCGCCGUCUUUUGUUAAAUUGCUAGGCGACUAGAAGUAUUCGGAAGUCUGAAUGUCCAAAAGAACUUGAGCCAGCAGGGAAGACAUCUGUCCAUGUGAAUCUCACAAGGAGUGAGGAGGACUGCCCGGUA